rnacentral:tRNA from 1 species
UAGAGUAUGCCGAAAUUGGUAGCCGGGUAAAUUUUAGAAAUUUAUGAUCUAAUAUCAGAAGACACUGAGAGUUCAAGUCUCUUUGCUCGUA